rnacentral:tRNA from 1 species
GGGGUUGUGGCCCAGUGGUAGAGCACUUGCUUCACAUGCAUGAGGCACUGGGUUCGUUCCCCAGCACCACA